rnacentral:rRNA from 1 species
AUUGAACGCUGGCGGCAGGCUUAACACAUGCAAGUCGAGCGGGGUGAUGGUGCUUGCACUAUCACUUAGCGGCGGACGGGUGAGUAAUGCUUAGGAAUCUGCCUAUUAGUGGGGGACAACAUCUCGAAAGGGAUGCUAAUACCGCAUACGUCCUACGGGAGAAAGCAGGGGAUCACUUGUGACCUUGCGCUAAUAGAUGAGCCUAAGUCGGAUUAGCUAGUUGGUGGGGUAAAGGCCUACCAAGGCGACGAUCUGUAGCGGGUCUGAGAGGAUGAUCCGCCACACUGGGACUGAGACACGGCCCAGACUCCUACGGGAGGCAGCAGUGGGGAAUAUUGGACAAUGGGGGGAACCCUGAUCCAGCCAUGCCGCGUGUGUGAAGAAGGCCUUAUGGUUGUAAAGCACUUUAAGCGAGGAGGAGGCUCUUUUGGUUAAUACCCAGGAUGAGUGGACGUUACUCGCAGAAAAAGCACCGGCUAACUCUGUGCCAGCAGCCGCCGUAA